GAAACUACGCCUACAUGAAGCUGGAGUUGCUAGUAAUCGCGAAUCAGCAUGUCGCGGUGAAUACGUUCCCGGGCCUUGUACACACCGCCCGUCACACCAUGAGAGUUGGCAAUACCCAACGUACGUGAUCUAACCCGCAAGGGAGGAAGCGUCCUAAGGUAGGGUCAGCGAUUGGGGUGAAGUCGUAACAAGGUAGC
rnacentral:rRNA from 1 species